rnacentral:lncRNA from 12 species
CUUAAAGGUCUUGGAAACAGGAUUGCUUCUGAUUAUGUACAGCUAAUGCUUGCAGGAGUAAGACCCAGAUCUCAACUGGAAGCUCCAGGAACCACAAAGAGCAGGACUGGACAGUGUGCAAUUAAAAGGCCAGGACUGAGCACUAAUCACGUUCAUGGAUGCACAGAGCCUUCCACUGCAAACCAGCAACCUUGUGUCACUGCUAAAAAUACCACUUUUGUUCACAGUUUCGAGCUUUAGUACUUUUGUAUUCAGAUAUUUCUCUGGUGUUCCGGUUCUGCGUGUUUAUAAGUUUCUACAUGAGUAGGAGUUUUCUACAUCUUCGUAUUGUUUCCUAUCCUUGACAAAGACUUCAGCCUUGGACAGAUUGCUGACAGAUUGGUUCAGAGCCAACAAGCAGGCAACAGUGCUAAAUGGAGCAACGAACUCUCUAUUACUUGUG